UAGAGCUCCGGAUGACGUCUUUGC
rnacentral:piRNA from 1 species